CAGGCGAUUGCUAGGCUUUUUACAUGUAAUUUUUAUUAGCGCGCUAACCAGUAAUAACCGCCGGCGUCGUUUAGUGACCCGGACAUAGAUGAAAGCCAACCGGAAAUAGAAUGUUGGCACCCAAUCAGGCUUUCGAUGAUGUAACAUCACAGCAGAAACCCAAGACCAGCUCAGAGAAAGUAAAGCUUCCAGCAGAUCUGAAGGGAUGUCCCAAGGAACAUCAUGGUAGAGACUCCAGGAAGCUGACACCUGGCCAGUACUCCAGCCACCAGCGAAAUCGAAAGUAAUCUACAUCACACUUGCAGCCUGCCUCCAAACUGCCAGCAUGAAUGUGAUGUAUGUGUGUCACUCAGCUCUGAUACAAGUGAAAUUCUCCUCCGGUGGUAACUGUGAUGCUACUCAAUGAACUAUAACAAGAGCUCUAAAUGCGUCUCGUAUAGCAUACCACCGUGAUUUGCAAAAGUGGGAAUAAAUCAAAGCAUUGAAGAGAUGCCACAUUGAGCCAGAAGCUAAAUGUUACAUCUUGUUGCAUGAGGUAAAGGAGAACAGAUCCUGUUUUUCUGGCAGCACAGUAUCUUUGUGCUUGUUACUUCAGAUCCAGGCCCAUUAAAACAAUCAUUCAGAAUCUACAGGAGAUUGUCACCACUUUCUUUCAUGCAAUGGCAGCUGGUAUUGGUGCUCAUACACAUUCUUCAUUCCCUUCAAGAUUUUUAACACAAAAAAAGAAGCUUAAUUUAUAUUAAAAAAAAA